UGGGGAAUUUUGCACAAUGGGGGAAACCCUGAUGCAGCGACGCCGCGUGAUUUAGAAGGCCUUCGGGUUGUAAAAAUCUUUUUUACGGGAUGAGAAUGACAGUACCAUAGGAAUAAGGACCGGCUAAUUACGUGCCAGCAGCCGCGGUAAUACGUAAGGUCCGAGCGUUGUCCGGAAUCAUUGGGCGUAAAGGGUACGUAGGCGGGUAAGCAAGUUAGAAGUGAAAUCCUGUAGCUCAACUACAGUAAGCUUUUAAAACUGCUCAUCUUGAGAUAUGGAAGGGAAAGUGGAAUUCCUAGUGUAGCGGUGAAAUGCGCAGAUAUUAGGAGGAAUACCGGUGGCGAAGGCGACUUUCUGGCCAUAAUCUGACGCUGAGGUACGAAAGCGUGGGUAGCAAACAGG
rnacentral:rRNA from 1 species